CCGAGUGAGUCAGUGACAGUGAGAAAAAGAUGUUUGAUAAAUUUUGAAAUGAAAUGUUUAGAACUCAAAAGGGAAUUGAAAAUGAAUAUUCUUUGUUAAGCUUUCAAAGGGAAUUUUCAGUCCCAUGCCCGCUUCAACGCUAAUUGAGAUCGAUUUUCAUGGUCGUUUCUGUUGAAGAAGCCAUUGCAGCUCUCCAUAAUCAAGAAAUCAUCAGGAAUGGAAACAAUUUCAAUGCCAUUGACAAAGACGUACGAGUUUGGAGAAGCUGUAAAAGUCACCUCCAGCACACGGCUUCGAUUGACUGUGAUGACAUAUUCUUUAACCAGAGUGAGUAUUCC